CGCAAAGAAGCGAGAGCAUAAAUGCAGUCACAAAGAUUUGGAUGGGAUCUAACACAUCACUUUACAAUUUUGCCAAGAAGUUUGAUAAAAUGGUGGAAGGUACUUAUGAGAGAGAAAGUUAUGAGGAUAUUAGAACAAUGAAUGAGAAAGCACAAUUGUGGUCUUGUGAUCCAGUUGAGGAAGAAGCACGAAAGGUGUACACACGAAAUGUUUUUUCACUUUUUAAAGAAAAAUUGAAGAAGGCAUCUGGGUAUCGUGUGCAUGAGGUAGAGAAGGACGUACUUUACAAGAUCCGUCCUGCAGUAAACCAAAUCAAGUAUGAAUGGUAUAAUCCUAUACGCGUUGUGGUUAUAGAUAAGAAAAAUAGUACUGCUGAAUGUGAGAGCAAAGGUUUUGAAUACCAAGGAAUUUUGUGUCCACAUGCUCUUGAGGUGAUGCGAUACGUUGGAUUGGAGCCGUUCCUUCCUUCUCAUUACAUUCUAAGGAGGUGGACUCGUGAUGCUAAUGCAAGCAUAAAGAGAGCAGUAAGUAACAAGACAGUGGAGGGUAAAGGAUGUGAGCUGGAUUCCAUCAUGCUUCAUGCCUUAAACCAACUUAUGCAGGAAGUUGCCAAAGAGGCUGUCAAGUCUCGUCCUGCAAUUGAGAAAGCUCGUACACGUCUGAUUGAACUGAAAGAUGAAGUAAUUGAAAUAAAUCAAGCAAUAAACCUCAAAUCUGUUUUGUUAGAGAAAGAUGAUAAUGUAGUGAAUACCAUGAAUGCUCCAUGUGAAGCAUGAAAAUGUCUGAAGUUUGGAGACCCGUCAAUCUCACAGUGCAAGGGAAAGAGGAAACCCCAGAGGUUGAAGCCUCCAUCUGAAGUUAAAAAUGCAAAAAAGAUGCGAACUUGUAGUUAUUGUCACAAAAAAGAAGGCCACAAUAUGGCUACAUGCCCAAAGAAAUUGAAGGAUGGAAAAGCAAAAAAGGAUCCGGCAUAUUGCUUUGAAGAGGAUGAUGAUGUUGAGACUGACAGUGACACUGAAGAUGAUGAGUACUAGUGAGAUCUUGGGAGCUUAUGGAGAAGAUAUGAGAUGCAUUUUGGUUAUUACUUCAUUUUGGCACAGCUACAGGGGCACAUUUUCGUAUACCUAAUAAGGUUAUAUUUUUGUAUAGCUAUAGCCUAUAGGAUAAAUUUUGGUAUAUCAAUAAGGGGAUAUAUUGUGCUACAGUUAAAUUUGCUAUGUAGUUUUUCUACCAAAAAUGUAUAAAUUUAUAGUUAAAUAGUUCACAUUGUUAUAGAGAGAACAUGUUUCAAAUAAUGAGAACCAUAUUAGCAAGCAGCAGUGCUGCACCAUCCGU